rnacentral:rRNA from 1 species
UACGUAGGGUGCAAGCGUUGUCCGGAAUUAUUGGGCGUAAAGAGCUCGUAGGCGGUCUGUUGCGUCGGCUGUGAAAACCCAGGGCUCAACUCCGGGCCUGCAGCCGAUACGGGCAGACUAGAGUUCGGCAGGGGAGACUGGAAUUCCUGGUGUAGCGGUGAAAUGCGCAGAUAUCGGGAGGAACACCUAUGGCGAAGGCAGCUCGCUGGGACGUUACUGACGCUGAGACGCGAAAGCGUGGGGAGCAAACAGG